rnacentral:lncRNA from 1 species
UUUUGGUCCAUUUCUGCAGUGUAUACCCAGCUGUAUACUGACUGUAUAUCACAGUCCUUCACCCUUGCGUUUUUGUGUAUAUUUCAACGUAUAUACUGUAUAUCAACGUAGAAAUCAGCAUAUUCCCUCUCCAUAUUUCAUUUCACACUGUAUGAUGGUAUGCAGCUACGACUUUCAGUGUAUACACAUUGUAUAUCAGCAUAUACCAGCCUGUAUAUGUGUGCUAUCCUGUGUAUAUCAGUCCAAAUUUGGACUUCAAUGAGGCUCGACUCGACGGACAUCAAAAGCGAAGGAAUGGGGAGUCGGAUCGGACAUGUUCAAGAUGGAUUCAUGCAAAAGAUAGAAAAGGUAAAGAUUAGGUACGUAUUUAUAUAUGAAAUAAAAUUUAACUUGAAAUGAUUUCCAAUGGUUCAAUGAAUUUUCCAGGAAAAGGAAAAAAAAAGUGCAAGAAUGCAUGCAUACAUCCAAACAUUUUUAGAAAAGAAAAGCCAAAAUUCUGAAUUUUUAACACUUUUUCACACAAAUAAAAAUAGUAACACCCAAGAGCAUGAAGAGAUAGUUGGGAAGACAUUAUUAUUACUAUUAUUUAUUAUUAUUAUUAUUUCUAACGAAAGAAGGAAAGCGACCAACAAAGUGAUGGUUCGCCUAAUACUUAAAACUAUACAUUCAAACUAGUAGAAAUGAAGUCAUAGAUUAAACUAUUUGAAGGCGGUUCAAUAUUUGAUCCAAAAUAGGGAGGUACUUGAUUUUAAACCCACAAAGGAAUAUAAGUCCUAACUUGAUAUACACAACAAAUAGUCAUUGCAAAAAAUGAAAUAAAAUCUCAAUUUAUUACCACACAUGGCCAAAAAGGACGGACUAUACUAUAGAUUCAACUAGCUGUCAAACAAGUUGGCUUUUAACCCUUUACGAUAAAUCAGUUAAAUAAAUAACCUCACGUGUCCAGACAUCAAUCAGAAUUCAAAAAAAAAAAAAACAAAGCAUUAAAAGGCUCAAGUUUGAUUUGUUCCAGCAACUAAUUAAAAUUUCAAGAGGUUGGAUAUAAAAAAAAAAAAAAAAUACUUAAGUUAUUGAGUCCAUAUGAAAAAAAGAGGGAUGGAGAAAGAAAAAUCACAACUAAAUAACAAGUAUACUCAACUAUGCCAAAUUGUUGUAAUGACAAAACCUUUCACCGCCUUUGUCGAGCUUCACAUCAUCUUUGCAAAGAACUGUGUUUUCGGUUAAUUUGAUUGCAAACAUUCACUAACUAAUCAAUAGUCUUCAUGCUUUCCGAAUGUGUGACCGUUUGAGUGAAAAGUUGAUAAAUAUGAAUUCACUUUCCCAAGUGUUACGUGUGAAUAAAUAUUCUAGAUAUGAGCCAAAGAAAAUGACCCUCACACAUAACAGAGGAAUUCGAUCAAAAUGAUGCAAACAUCAACUUAAGCAAACAGCCUUCAGAAACUUUGGAGGACGAAGGAAGCAAUCAGAAAUAAAUCUUUAACCUUUUAAUCUAAUUUGUAACAGCAAGGAGAAUACCAAAACCCAGAGAAAAAUGCUCAACAUUAAAAAGGAAAGAAAACUACUCUUAUGCUAAUCGUUAGAUUUGACUACAAACAACAAAGCAAUAAUCGAUAGGAAAGGAACCUAGACACUACCAACAACUGGAAGUAGAAACAACAUCAUAAACAAACAUGGGAUCCAAAAAUAAUUCAAGAAACAAAAUUUAAGCACUACAAAUACCAAACAAAAACAGAAAAGAAACGAAGUUUAAGCACUACAAAUACCAAAUGAAAACAGGAACUCAUGAAAAAUAAAAGAAAACAAGAAAGACCUAUUUCGGAGCAGCUCACUGGGACGACGAGCUUUGACGACAAACUUCCAGCCGAGUUUAAAUUUUGACCUUUCGGAGUUUAAUUUUUUGUCGGAAUGGAGUUUUUUCUUAGUUUGUUUCUUGUAGAAUUUUUGGUUCCGUAAGACUAGAAGCAUACGCCUCCCGAAUCUUCAAAUUUUUCCCCAGAAAUCCUCUACCCCCUUGCCUUCUUCCCCUCAAUCCCUAUUUAUAGUGGAAGACACUGAUUUUUCUAUUUAAAAAUAGAGAAGACAUAUCUCUAAAAUUCGAAUUCCGAACUGGCCCUUCUAAUUUGGAUUGGAUUUUGGAUUUUGGAUUUUGUAACACACAAUCUUGAGCAAGAAAGUCAAAAAGAUGGCUCCUAGGCCUGCAAAAUUUAAAGAUAAGAUGAAAAGAUAGAGUUUUUUAUGAUUUUUGGAUCUUUGUUGGUUGAGUUUCAGUGUUGGGUCGGGUAUCAGUCAUUGUUGGCCAAAGUUGGGUCUGCCGAUGGUAUCGAGUUGAUUUAUGGGUCGGAGCGGUUGGUGAUUUUGUCAUUAUUUGUUGGGUGGUCGUCGAUGUUGAUGUUGACAUCGCUAUUGUGUGUUGUUGUUGAAUACAUUGGGACCACAUGUAAUUUCAUCCAAACUCCACACUAGUAUGAUAUUGUCCGCUUUGGGUCAAGUCCUCACGGAUUUGUUUUUGGGCACCUCCCAAAAGGCCUCAUACUAGUGGAGUUGGGUGAGACUCUUAAAUAUUGGACAUGUAUCCUCUAUUUCUCCGAUGUGGGAUUGAUUUUAUUCCCAAUAAUCCUCCCCUCAAACCAAGACCACAACACUCGUGACCUCUCUUUCAGUGAUAAUCCAUUUGAUCUGGCUAGCCAUCUUUUACCGCCACUACCAACCAGUGGGACACGCCGCUUGACCACUACUUGUCAAGAAGACUUUCGACACAAGGCAUCAACCAUAAAUCUCAGCUACUGGGUCACUUCAUAUGAUCUGCCAAAUAUCUUGUACCGCCGUUAUCACCAAAUGGGACACGCUGCCUGACCACCACUCCCUAGAAAGACUUUCAACACAAGGCACCACCAACAGAUCUCCAAUCUUGUCAUCACACUAGGAAUUUCUCACCAACCGCAGUCCACUACUCCGACACACCCAAACCUGGGCUCUAAUACUACUUGUUGGGUCCGCGUGUAACUCCGCACUAGUAUGAUUUGUCCGCUUUGAGCCAAGCCCUCACAGAUUUAUUUUUGGGCACACCCCAAAAAGCCUCAUACUAAUAGAGUUGCAUAGAGUUGCAUGAAACUUUAAAUAUUGUACAUGUUUCCUCUAUUUCUCCGAUGUAGGGUUGAUUUGCUUCCCAACAAUCCUCCCCCCAAACCAAGACCACACCACUUAUGACCUCUCCUUCAGCGAUAAUCAAUUUAAUCGCACUAACUAUCUAAUAUCACCAUAACCAACUAGUGGGACACGCCGCUUGACCACUACUUGUCAAGAAGACUUUCGACAUAAGGCAUCAACAGUAGAUCUCAACUACUAGGUCACUUCAUAUGAUCUGCCAAACAUCUUGUACCACCAUUAUCACCCAAUAGGACACACUGCUUGACUACCACUCGUCAGGAAGACUUUUGAUACAAGGCACCACCUGCAGAUCUCCAGUCUUGUUGUUACACUGAUAACUUCUCACCAAAUACAGUCCACUACUCUGAUACACCCGGUCCACUACUUCGACAUACCCGAACCUGGGCUUUGAUACCAUUUGCUGGGACAACGUGUAACUUCACCCAAACUCCGUACUAGUAUGAUAAUAUCCGCUAUGGGCCUAGCCCUCAUGAAUUUAUUUUUGGGCACAUCCCAAAAGGCCUCAUACUAGUGGAGUUGGGUGAGACUCUUAAAUAUUGGACAUGUAUCCUCUAUUUCUCCGAUGUGGGAUUGAUUUGCUUCCUAAUAGAAUAUUGUCCUUGAAUGGGUUUUUUCCGUGGUUGUGUUGUUAUCGUGUAUUGCUGUUGAUGUUACUCGUUUGUGGUAAUGGAAUAAAGAGGAAAGAUGAGGAUUUGGGUCGAGUUGUAUGGAAUGGGCUGGGGUAAUUCUAUAAAAUAAAAAGGGGUUCUUGGGCCAUUUAAAAUAUAGCCAAAUGGUAGGAUUAAAUUAUUUAUUGAAUAGCCAAUAUUUUAGAUCCUUAGUCAAUUAAUUUAAAUUUCAACCAAAUUGAUAAAUUAAUUGGUUAAUUACAUUGCAAUUAUGACCAAAUCAAUUUCAAUUAUGGUUAAUUCAAUAAAUUGACUAAAUUGAAUCGAAAUUCGAAAUGAUUUUACAUCGAACUUAGUCCCGAGCUUCUUAAAAAACCAAACAAAUAAAUUUUCUUAAAUAAAUUAUUUUGAGACUAAAUUGUGGUUAAAUAAAAUCUCUAACUAUUUGAAUCAAUUUUCAAAAUAAUGCUUGGUUAAAAUCUAUUUUUUGUAAAUUGAUUAUUUAAGUAAUGAAAUUAUACAAUCUCGUAUGUAUGAAUAUGCAAAAUAUAAUCGCUACUUGAAAUGACAAAGUCACCUAGAUAAAUAAUUGAUUUUUUUAUCUGAAAAUUAAAUAUUAUAAUUUUAUUUAAAAUCAAAGACACUCAGGAUUAAACUUAAUCAUGGAGGGAAAAAUUAGGUAUCAAUACCUAGUCUUACUGGCAGUCUCUUCAACUAGCAGUCUUUCACCUACUCUAUUUGUCCCUUAGCUAGACAACCUCAUUUACCUUUUAUUGAUAACACUUUCUCUUUAUCUUCCCCUUUUGAGUUGAUCUAUAUUGAUACUUGGGGGCCUUAUCACUCCACUACUUAUGAUGGUUUUCGUUAUAUCCUCACCAUUGUUGAUGACUAUUCCCGUGCUACCUGAACACAUCUAAUGGGUUCCAAAAUUAAUGCAUUUGAUCUUCUUAAGGCUUUUCUCACUUUGGUGGAAACUCAGUUCAAUGCUUAUGUUAAGGUAGUUCGUAGUGAUAAUGCUUUAGAACUUGGAUCUUCUUUGUCUGGUUCUCAGUUCUUUUCCUCCAAAGGCAUCAUUCACCAAACUUCUUGUCUCUACACUCCUCAACAAAAUGGAGUUGUUGAGAGAAAGCAUAAAUUUCUCUUAGAAACUGCUAGGGCUUUGCUUUUUCAGUCCCAUCUUCCUAUUAGGUUUUGGGGGGAUUGUCUUUUAACAGCCACUUACCUUUUUAAUCGGUUUCGUUCCCCUACUUUGCAUCACAAGAGCCCUUUUGAAUUACUUCAUCAUAAAUCACCCUCCUAUUCCCACCUCAAGGCUUUUGGGUGCUUGUGUUACUCAACUAUCCCUAUUCUUUAUAGAAAUAAAUUAUCCCCUUCUAAUUCUUUGUGUUUUUGUUGGAUAUCUUUUUGCUAAAAGGGGUUACAAGCUUUAUAACUUUCUCUCCAAGACUUGUUUCAUUUCUAGGGAUGUUGCCUUUUAUGAAACCACCUUUCCUUUACAUUCACUCUCUUCCCAUACCCUACUUUCUUAUCUAUUUCAUAUUUCUUUCUUUGAUGACCCUGCUUCUCCUCCAACUGCUUCUGUCUCUACACAUGAGUCUACUGUAUCCCCUGCUUUAGUACCCCUUAUUCCAGCUUUUGUUCCCCCUUCUAGAAAGUCUUCUAGGGUGUCCCAUCCUCCUGUUAAAUCUUCAAGAUUAUAUGUGUCAUUCUUUCUUUCUUCCUUACUCCACCUAUUCUCCUUCUUGGGCUUCUUUACAUGGUUAACUAUCUAUUUGUAAGCCUCACAGUUACUCUCAGAAAGCUGUAUUUCCUUAGUGGCAAGAUACAAUGAGACAAGAGUUUUAUGCUUUGGAGUCCACUAAUACUUGGUCUGUUGCCCCACUUCCCUAUAGAAAGAAACCUAUUGGUUGUAAGUGGGUUUACAAGAUCAAGUAUAGGGCUGAUGAUUCUUUGGAAAGAUAUAAGGCUCGAUUAGUGGUCCAGGGGGUACUCAGGUUGAAGGUGUUGAUUUUUAUGAAAUAUUUUCCCAAUGAUCAAAAUUUCCACUAUCAAGACCCUUGUGACUGUGGCUAUUAAGCAUCGUUGGUCUCUCUUUCAACUUGAUGUUAACAACGCUUUUCUCCAUGGGGAUUUGGAUGAAGAAGUUUACAUGAAACGGCCUCCUGGACUUACUGUUUUUGAUUCUUCUUUUUCUAUGAUUUGCAAAAUCAAUAAAUCAUUAUAUGGGCUUCGGCAAGCCUCUCGUUAAUGGUACGCCAAGUUGACUCAUGCCCUUCAAUUGAGGGGUUAUGCCCAUUUUCUUAAUGAUUACUCUCUCUUCACUAAAGGUUCGGGGGAUUCUCUUGUCAUCUUAGCUGUCUAUGUUGAUGAUAUUAUUUUGACUGGCACUGAUCUCAAAGAAAUUACUGAUCUCAAGUUGUUCCUCCAUGAAUAAUUUAAGAUAAAAAAAAAAAAUUAGGUUUGUUGCAUUAUUUCCUUGGUAUUGAAGUAUUAUAUUGUGACACUGGUGUUCUCUUGCAUCAAAGUGAAUUUGUUCAUGAUCUGCUUAUUGAUUAUCAUUGUGAUGUUUCAUCUCCUGUGGUUUACCCUUUGGAACUAAAUUGUAAGUUGUCUGUUGACAUGGGUGAUCCUUUGGAGCAGCCUAAGGUUUACCGUAGCCUGGAUGGCAAGUUGAAUUUUUUAACUCAUACUCGGUCGGACCUCUUUUUUGUUCUCCAAUAUUUGAGUCAGUAUUUGUAGUGCCCUUGUGUGCCUCACAUGCAGGCUGCCUUACAUCUUUUAUGUUACCUGAAGGGUUCCCCUGGGUUUGGUUUAUUUUUUAAUAAUUCUACUGACUUCUCUUUACAAGUUUUUUGUGACAGUGAUUGGGUUUCUUGCCCGAAUAGUCAUCGUUUUGUCACUGGGUUUUGCAUUUUAAUUAGAGGCAGUUUGAUUAUCUGGAAGUCCAAAAAAAUCCAGUGGUGUCCCUUUCAUCUGCUGAAUCUGAGUAUCGCUCGUUGAAUAAGGCUAUGGGUGAACUCACUUGGCUUUUCCAUCUCCUUUCUGACUUUGGUCUGCACUCUUCUCUACCAGUUCUAGUGUUUUGUGACAGCAAGUCUGCUAUUCAUAUCGCCAAGAAUACUAUAUUCCAUGAGUGAACGAAGCACAUCGAGUUGGAUUGCCACUUUGUCCGGGCUAAACUAGGUGUUGUCUUGAUCACUUUGCAUCACACUCCGAGUGCUUCUCAAAUGGUUGACAUUUUCACGAAGGCCUUACUUGGUGCUGCUCAUCACUUUCAUCUUUGUAAGUUGGGAGUUAUCUCACCCUCCAACUUGAGGGGGUGUUAAGCUACAUGAUAAUAUCAUAGCUAUUGGUGGAGUGGGCUAGUCCAUUGUAUUUGUGUAUAUAUUUUUGUAUGAUGCCCAUAUGGUGUAUAAGGCUCAAUAUCUUAUUUAUUAUCUGGUUUUAUUACUUUAUUUCAGGUCAUGUAUAUAUAUUAUGUAACCCGCAUUAUGUGGAACACAGAUUCAUAAUUGAAGAGAUCAGUUACAAGCAUUAGAUAUUUUCCUCUCUCUUCUUUCUUCUUAAAGCUUCAUUUCUCACAUAAGUUUUGCUCUGAAUAUGGUAUAUUCUUAUUUCUAAUAUACUUUAAUAUAUGAUAGAAUUAAAAAUGAGGUUAAAUCUGUGUAGGAGCUAAUACAUCACCAGCCGUAAUUUUGAUCCUCAAAUCAAGUAAUUAGAUUAGUCACUUACAAUGAGAAAACUAAAAUGAUUUUCUUUAACUAUUAAAGUUUGUUUCUAUUCAUGGUGUUGGUAAAAGGGAUAGAUUAAAAAGUCUUAAUGUAAUGAUCAUUGAACAAUUGGGGAAAGUGUAUCAGUUUAUAAAAAUAAGGAAAGUGAAAGGGAUAAGAUGUGUUGUACAACUAUAAAUAAAGUCACAUGUGUGGUGGGUGAGCUCUUAAGGGAAUAGGCCAGUUAACGGGUCAGAGAAUAAAAAUGGCCCAAUUGUAGAAUCAGGCCCAAUUCGUAGAUAUGAGUCCAAUAGUUGAGGAGUCUAUAAAGUCACCUAUUAAGAGCGUGAAACGUAUGCAAAUUCUGGUAAAUUCAGUUACAAUUCCCUAACUACUUUUCCCUUCUUCGAUCCUCUUCUUCUCCUUACCUAAAUCAUUUUUCUUCUUUCUUUCUUAUGUUCAAGUUCACCAAUGGAGUUAGUUAGUGAUCAAUGUUGUAAUAGUAUUUCUACACGAUUAAUAAAAGAACUCCUGUUUCUAUUAUUGUUUUGUUAUCAAAUUUUAUUUUCAAUUCUUAAUACAUAAUAAAGUGGUAUCAGAGCCUUUUCUUGGCACCAUAACUAUAACCGAAACUCAUGCAAAAUCUAUGGAGGAAAGUGUCAAAAAAUUGGAGAAUCAAUUUCAAAACUACAUGACAGAAACUAAUAAAAAAUUGGAGUCAAAUAUCUCAAAAAUGGACGAAUUGCAUUGCAAAUUGAAUAUGAUGAUGGAGAAAUUCUUCGCGAACAAGGAUGGCAUUCUGGGUAGUGGAACAGUAGAGAGGCAUCCUUCAAAAACUUUGGGUAGUAGAGUUCGAAUGAUGGAUUCCCAGGAUAAUUCUAAUGGAAGGUCGUACAACCACUUCACGAGGUCCAAGGUAGAAUGUCCUUACUCUGAGGAGGGUGAACCUCAGUCGUGGCUGCAAAAAUGUGAAAGGUAUUUCAGAUAUCACCACAUAGUUGAUGCUAAAAAAAAUUAGAAACUGUCGUGCUGCAUUUGAAUGGGAGGGCCGAGUCUUGGUUUUUAUCUUACCAGUUGAGUAAGGGUAUAGUCAGGUGGAAGAAUUAUGUAGAGAAAAUCUGUAAAAGCUUUAAUGAUUCUUAUAAUAGCAAUCUUAACCUACUGGGGAAAACUAAGCGAGUAGAACAAAAAGGGACAUUGACGGAGUAUUUAGAAAAACUUGAAGAUUUGAAGGCUUGGGUUUUUAUCAAAUAUCCCACCAUCUCUAUAGAUUUUUUGUUGUGAUUUUUCAUUAAAGGAUUGAAAGAAGAAAUUAGACAUAUUGUGAAAAUAUUAAACCCAUACAUUUUUAGUCAAGUUAUAAAGAAGUCUAGACACAAGGAAGAGUGUUUAGAUGCCAUGAAUAAGAGGAGUAGAAUAACUAUCAGGAAACAGUCAAGCCACUAUAAUACAGGCACUGGUGUUACAGGUCAAAAUCUUCUAGUUAUAUGCCAAUAGAGGGCAAUUAUAACUCAACAUUAUCAGGGUCCAAGUUGUUCGAGGCUAGAAAAGCAAGAAGGGAGUAUUAUAGGUGUGGGAAGAAGUAUUUCAUAGGGCAUCAGUGUAAAGAUAAGCAAUUAAAUACUCUAAGUGGAAUCACUGGACAAGAAGAGAAACUUGAAGAUUCAGUAGAAAAAGUUAUGAGAGACCUUCAGAUAUUCAAGAAGUGAUUCUGGAUGAAUCUAUCAGUUUACAUGCACUAUCAGGUACUAUUGCUUCAACCACUAUCAAGUUGAAGGGGUGGUAUAGGAAGCAGGGUCUUAUAAUUUUGGUAGACAGUGGUAGUACCCACAGUUUUAUUGAUGGUAGCAAUGCUAAGCAACUUGGGUGUGUAGUACAAAAAAACUUUCCUAUGAGGACGACUGUAUCAAAUAAGAGUCAUUUGAUGAGUUACCAUUCUUCCCCUUACUUCAAAUGAAAGAUACAUGGAGUAGAUUUUGAAUUUAAAGUUAGAUUACUGGAGAUUGGUGGAUGCGAUAAGGUAUUGGGGGUAGACAGGAUGAGGUAAUAUAAUCCAAUCUUAUUUGAUUUCAUUGCUUGUAAAUUGCAGGUUAGUAUGAAGGGAAAAGGGUAGAAUUAAAUGGAUAUUCUGAAGAAAGAAAGUUACAGUCCUUGUCAACAUCUGGGGUCAACAAGUUGCUGAAGAAGGGUUAACUUUUAUGGGCUCACAUGUUCACACUGGAAGCUAUUGCAGUUGAGUCUAAGACAGUCAUACCUGAUGAGAUCAAUAGAGUCUUACAAGACUUUCUAGAGUUUUUCUCUAAACCAAAAUCCUUGCCACCAAAUAGAGGUCAUGACCACUCCAUCCCUAUCAAACUUGAUGUAAAUCCAGUCAGUAUUAGACCCUACAGGUAUAAUUAUUUUCAAAAACAUAAAAUAGAGAAACAGGUUAACGAAAUGUUACAUAAUGGUAUCAUACAACCCAGCCAUUCCCCUUUCUCAUCCCUAGUUUUAUUGGUUAAAAAAAUGGUACUUGGAGGUUUUGCAUUGAUUAUAGGAAACUUAGUAAGAUGACAAUCAAGGAUAAAUUCCUUAUACCAUUAGUGGAUGAUUUAAUGGAUGAACUGAGUGGCUCUUGUAUUUACUUUAAGAUCGAUCUUAGAGCAGGGUACCACCAAAUAAGGAUGACGGAAACUGAUGUCUAUAAAACUGCAUUUAGGACAUUAUAAGUUCAAAGUAAUGCCCUUUAGCUUGACUAAUGCCCCUGCCACUUUUCAAGGGAUUAUGAACUAUGUUUUUCAACCCUAUUUAAGGAAAUUUGUGUUGGUUUUAUUUGAUGAUAUAUUAGUGUAUAGUUCAUCUGUACAAAUGCAUGCUUUACAUUUAAGGAAAGUGAUAGAAAUAUUGCAAAAAGAACAGUUGUAUGCAAAAAUGUCUAAAUGUUAUUUUGGACAAAACAAGGUGGAAUACUUGGGUCAUAUAAUCUCAGGUCAAGGUGUAGCCACAAACCCCACAAAGAUUGAGGCCAUGGUCACUUGGCCUGUUCCUAAGUCUAUUAAGGAACUAAGGGGUUUCCUAGGACUCACAAGUUAUUAUAGGAGGUUUGUCUAGUCCUAUGGCAUAAUUAGCAAGCCAUUAACUAAUUUUCUCAAGAAGAAUUUAUUUAAGAGGACUAAGGAGGCAGAAUUAACAUUUCAACAGAUGAAACAUACUAUAUCCACUGUACCAGUACUUGCCAUGGUUGAUUUUACAAAGCCCUUUAUUGUAGAAACUGAUGCUUGUUCUACUGGCAUGAGGGUUGUCUUAAUGCAGAAAGGCAGACCUAUUGCUUAUUUCAGCAAAGAUUUAGCUCUCAAACACAGGGGUCUAUCCACAUAUAAGAAAAAUAUAUGUCUGUUUUAUCUGCUGUAGACAAAUGGAGGCAUUACCUUUAAGGAGGACAUUUUAUAGUGAUAACAGAUUAUCAAAGCCUAAAAUACCUAUUGGAGCAAAAGGUUACCACUGCUUUACAACAAAAAGGUCUUACUAAGCUUUUAGGUUUGGAUUAUGAGGUAUAAUACAAGAAAGGGGUCGAGAAUAAGGUGGUUGAUACUCUUUCUAAGAGGGAAGGGGAAGAUUCUACUCUCAUGGCCUUGUCUACCACUCAGACUACUUGGUUAUAGGAAGUAGAAGACAAUUAUUCAGCUGAUCCUAUUGCAUCUCAGUUAUUUAUCACAUUAAUUAUCUCUCCUACCAGUAUUCCUGACUAUUCCUUAUCCCAACGUAUCAUCAGGUUCAAGAAUAAAAUCUACAUUAGGAGAAAUAUUACUUUGAGAUAGAAGAUUUUGGAGGCCUUGCAUCAGUCUUCCUUAGGAGGUCACUCAGGUCAACAAGCUACUUACAGAAAAGUCACUUCUAUAUUUUAUUAUCCUAAUUUAAAAUUGGAAGUGUGUAAGUGGGUUAGUGAAUGUGAUGUUUGCCAACUGGUGAAGAAUAACAGACCCGCCACUAUGGGUUGUUACAACCCCUGCCUAUUCCUCAACAGGCUUGGCAAGACAUUUAUCUAGAUUUUAUGGAAGGACUACCUUGUUCCCACAGUAAAAAUAUAGUUUUGGUGGUCAUCAAUUGAUUUACUAAGUAUGGACAUUUUUUAGCAAUCAAACAUCCUUUUACUGCCCAAGAUAUGGCUGACUUAUUCAUGCGGGAGAUACACAGAUUACAUGGUCUUAGGAAGACCAUUGUCUUGGAUCGGGACACUUGUUUCACUGGUCAUUUUUGGCAGCACCUUUUUAAGACACUGGGGACUAAAGACACUGGGGACUAAACUUACUAUGAUUAUAACCUAUCAUCCUCAAAUGGAUGGCCAAAUUGAACAACUGAAUCAUUGUAUGGAGGCUUACUUACAUGCUAUGGUCUUUGGAUAUCCUAAAUCCUGGGUGAAGUGGCUUCAUUUGGCAGAACUAAGGUACAACACUAAUUACCAUACUUCUCUUAAAACCACUCAUUUUCAAGCCUUAUACGACUACCCCCUCCCCCCUUCCUCCCCCCACUCAAUUACCCGUAGGGUCUUUGCCCCUUUAUAACCACGACCCUGCCAAAGUAAGUGUAGCUCAAUGACAAUAGGUGAUUCAAAAAUUUUGAUAUAACUUGACACAAGCACAAGCACGUAUGAAGUUCUAUGCAAACCAUUUCAGAACUAAAAGAUCUUUAGAAGUGGGAGAUCUAGCUUACCUAAAAUUACAGCCUUAUUGUCAAUCUCCAAUUGAUGUGCACAAGAAUAUCAAUUUGUGCGCGCAUUACUUUUGGCCUCAAAAGGUGUUAUAGAGGGUCGGCG